rnacentral:rRNA from 1 species
UACGGAGGAUGCGAGCGUUAUCCGGAAUCAUUGGGUUUAAAGGGCGCGUAGGCUGGUAUUUAAGUCAGUGGUGAAAUUUUCGUGCUUAACAUGAGAGCUGCCAUUGAUACUGGGUACCUAGAGUGUAUUUGAUGUGGGCGGAAUGUGUUGUGUAGCGGUGAAAUGCUUAGAUAUGACACAGAACACCGAUAGCGAAGGCAGCUCACAAAGUUACAACUGACGCUGAUGCACGAAAGCGUGGGGAUCGAAAACAGG